UUCAGCCAAAUCCUCAGAAGACUGUCCAGGCAGGUGCCAGGUGCAGAGCCGAGACACAGCAAGAGAAAGGGGCCCAGUUGUGUCUCCCAGGCCAGGAUCCAGGACAACAGUGGCCCUUCAUGUUCCAGGAAGCCUUGAGCAGCCGGCAGAUAAAGUCCACGUGCAAGAGUUGAGGUGGAGUGAGGCCCGUCAGCUGGGCGUGAGGUUGGACAGUCGUGGACAGGAGGAAGCCACCGUUCUGUGAGUGUUCAGUCCUCACGUGAACCUGGAGAGCGUCUCCCAUGAGCUCAUUCCACAGGGAAGGAGACGAGGCUAGGAGAAGCCAUGCCAUCUGCUCAGGUCACAGAGCCAGUGGGGUGCAGCUGGGCUGUGGAGCUGGAGCUGCCCUUCAGGCCUGGAUGCCCCCCAACCCCCGUCUCUGUGACCUCGAGUUCCUCUGGGCCACAGCCAGGAGACACUGGUGUUCAUGUGACGGGGGCUCUGCUUUAUGUUUCAGCCUGUGGAGCUGUGUUCCCACAGGUCCCAUCAUGAGGCCAGAGGCCAGAGGUCAGAUCAGAACCUUGGGCCUGAGUCCAAGGGGAGACCCUUCCACCCACUGCACGUGUGGCUUGCGGGCGUCCUCGUGUCUGUUUCUGCAACCCGGAGCCUUUGUGGUCAGUCCUCGAGGCUAGGCCCCUCAGCCCUCUGGCUUGCAUAGCAUCGAAUGACAGAAGCAGCCACUUGGAAGGAACGCGUGUCCUCUCACAUGGGUCUCCUCCUGACCCCCACCGUGGAUGCUAUUAGUACCCACGUUGUGCAGGUGGGGACACUGGGGUAUGGCAGGUGAAGUCAUUCGUCUAGAUCAUCCUGGGGGGCUGGAGCCAGGUUCCUACAGAGGCGAUCCCACUCCAGAACUCCUAGGGUGCUGUCCCUCCAGCCCUGCAAUGUCAGCUGUGGAUGAGCAGAGCCCAGGGCUGUCUCCACUGAGUUCCAGGUGUCCUCGUGGAUGCCUGGUACACAGCGCGGCUCAGCAGGUAUCACGAAAUGACAGACUGACUGUCACGGCCCUGCCAAGGACGCUCUGGAAGAGCUGUCACCUGCAGGUCCCCUUCUCUGGCCCUCUCUCUGGAGCUCGCCUACGUCUGUUCCUUGACACCGUUUAUGGGAAGCCGUGUUAAGUUUACAGCCUCGUGAGCAGCGGCUCCGCGGGGUCCGUUCCCACGUCGGCUGCCGCGGGAUCCUGGCAGCUUUUUUUGGGUCGUUCAUUUCCCCUGCGUGGCGCUGAUGGCUGCCCCAGACCCCUCCUGAGACGUGGACUAUUUUGCAUUUGUAAGCUACCACCUUUAUGGAAAAGGCCUGUGGGAUUGGGGUGUGCCGUGACCACUUGUUCCCCUGCAGACAGUGUCAAGGCCACCUUCACCUGAAAAUGAAAGCACGUGACCAGCAGUGUGACAUAGAGAAUGUCCUUGUGGCACUGGAUGUUCACGCAGGACUCCAGUGAGGCUGGGUGUGUGAAGCACACCAGGGGCAGGGGGUUGCUGAUGCCAAGGAUUGUC
rnacentral:lncRNA from 1 species